CUGUAUGUAUUCCUGUACCUAGCCUUUUUGGACACAUUCCUGUCCUGUACUUUCAUUUUUUACUCCCAUUGUGCUUUGCUACCUUCAAACAGUCUCAGCCAGUGUUUGGUGCCAUCUUUUUUCACUUUUAACUGUUCUACUGUCUCCUGCAAGUCUUAGUGGUGUGUAUGAGCCAUCAUUUCAGUGGUUUUAUUGUAAGGUUUUGGAUACUUUAGCAGAUUAAGAUUUGAAUUGAUAAAGCCCUUUGAGGUGAAACCAUGGUCUGCAUAUCUAAUGUGAAGAAAUAAAGAUUAAAUAAUAAACUACCUUUACCAGACCUGCAGUGAACCAAGACUUUUAUUUUUUGAACUGUAAGAGUUGGCACUUGUUCAGUACAGCAUCGGGCAUACAGACGUCUGGUUUAUUUUUAUCAUUGGUGACCAACAUGGCUUUGUGGAGGAGAUACUACAGUUAAAGUGAUCCCCAGAACCCCAUAGCAGCCCACCUAUUUAAAGCCUGGUAUGAGCAUAUCAACAGUAUAAAGACAGUUUUAAAAGCAGCAGUAUGGCUAAAGAACGUUACUUCAAGUUAUCAGAAAUCUUCAGCAAAAUAAUUUCAGAAUCUCCAAGCAAGAAGACAGCUCAACAAGGUAC